ACAAAACCCGGAAGGACCCCGCCGAAGGUUUUCUCCGGUUCGGGAGAGAGACGGAGUCCCGCUCUGUCACGCAGGCUGCCAGGCUGGCGUACAGUGGCGCAAUCUCAGCUCGCUGCAACCUCCACCUCCUGGGUUCAAGCGAUUUUCUUGCCUCUGCCUCCUGAGUAGCUGGGAUUACUGGCACACACCACCAUGCACAGUUCCUUGUUCAAAAUGCCAAGAACCUGGAUGACUCAUAGUCAAGACCCUCCACCAGUAACAUAUAUUGGCGAGCCAGCCAGGAGACCACUACAGGAAACACUCCAUUUAUUCCACCUGACUUCCCACUUGGCUGCAUCCUCAACCAUUGAAAUGAAUUUGACCCUGAUAAUCUAAGGAGGAAACAUUUGAUAUUCUUUUGCAAUAAUACUUGGCCCCAGUAUUGUUUGGAAUCUGGAGUUUGCUGUUGAAUGGGAAAGCAGGAUGACGUUGCAUGUAUCCAGGCUUUGGUGCUGCUGUCCUAAGAAGGGUCAGGCCUAGUCAGCAUAUGGUGCUCUCCUUUGGUGCUAUUUGGCUCCAGUGUCUUUGGAGUCUGAGGAGGUUUGGCCUUUAAAAAUCAAACUGCCACCGGAACUGCUUUAAAAAUGUUUGGUUCACAGCCUUCACUGGAUUACCUAUUGGAGCAAACAAAGUGUAACCAUGUAAAACCUGUGAGCUUGUAUUGAUAUCUCAUGGCUAGAGUUCCAAGCGAAUGGGUCUCAUGAGAUCUGAUGGUUUUGAAAAUGGGAGUUGCCCUGCACAAGCUCUCCUUUUGCCUGCUGCCAUCCACAUAAGAUGUGAUUUGCUCUUCCUUGCCUUCCACCAUGAUUGUGAGGCCUUCCCAGCAUGUGGAAAUGGUCCAGCCUGCAAUAACUGAAGCCCCCAGACCUGGAACCUGAAGAUCCCAUCAGCCACUAAACCUGUGAACCUGUAGAAGACCUGAAGUACCUGUUUAAAAGGCAGCCAAAAGAUAAGUAAAUUCCUAUCAACUUUCCUUGGUGUCCUUCUUGUAUAUUUACUGUAAGCUGGAUAUAAUAGUAGCCAUUUUUAUAUUUUUACAAUUUAAUUGCUUUCUUCCAAAUGGAUUGAAUCACUUCUUUUAAAGUGUUUUAAUUAAUUUUUAUCUAUAGAACAAAAUAACAAAUAAGUAUUUUUUUUUUAUACCAUAAUGGUCACCCACAGCCUGUGUAUACUAAGACCAUGCAUACUGAUAAUCAGCUUUAUUUUACAAAAGAGUUUCGCUUUACCCCUCUGGUAAUUAAUGGAUUCUGGGUAUUUAUUAAAAACUUUAACACAAAGACUGUUAAAUACCACCAGUCCAGCUUUGGCAAGGCACUGUUGGCUUUGUUUAUCUCCAUCAUCAUCCAAACAGACUACCAAUCCUGAUCCCAGCCCAAUCUUGGGCCCUUGAAAAAAUAACUUAACAUCCUAACUACAAGGGAGAAACUCCUUUCAAAUUAAUGAACCUGGCUGACUUAUAUAGCCUUAAAAUUAUGGAAAUGACAAGGGUUACAAUGUCAGAAUGAGCAGUAAACCUUCCCCAGUCCUAUCAGAGCAAACUUUCUGGGGUUGCAUCCCCUCAGAAACCCAUUUGGGGCCCAAUCUCAAUGCACAUAUCAGUGCGCAAAGCACUAAAAUUCCAGGCAACACUUUGUAUUGAGAGAAGCCAAAAUUUUGGUCCCGCCCUGGGACAUCUAAAGUCACCAAUGUAACUACACCAUACAGAUUAAACCCUCACAUGAUCAUGUAAGCUAUGCAGUUACCCAAGCUGCAUCAUUUAGAAAACCUGUACAGUUUUUAUGGAAACCAUCCCUAGUCAAGGACACUUUAAAUAUAUAGUCUAAAUACCGUUAAGGUAGGCCCACUAGCUGUGUUCACAUUUUCCCUUGGCCACCUUACCAGGGACUUUAAUAACUUGGGAAAGUGAAAACAACAAGCUAACCCACAUGUUCACCAUAGAAAACAAUUUUGUCUUGAAAAACAAGGACUCUUUUUCCCGUGUGGGACCAGUUCCUACUUAUGUUUUACCAGCCAAUUGGACUGGAACCUAUACAGUUGUUUAUUUAGCCCCCGAAAUUAAUAUAGCUCCCAACAACCAAUCCUUCAUUAUACUUUUAACUGCAACCACCAGACACAAAUGAGCCAUCCAACUGAUACCACUUUCGGUAGAGCUAGGAAUAACAGCAGGAGUAGGAAUGAGAGUUAGCAGCCUUGCAGUUUCCCUAUCCUAUUACCAAUGCUUGUCCAAGGAUUUUAUGGAAAGCUUAGGUGACAUUGCCCAAAAGUAUCAUCACCUUACAAAAUCAGAUAGAGUCUUUGGCAGUGGUGGCUUUGUAAAAUAGAAGGGGACUGGAUCUCCUAAAUGCUGAAGAAGGUGGCUUAUGUCUUUUUCCUAGAGGAAGAAUGCUGUUUUUAUGUCAACCAAACAGGAUUAGUAAGGGAUGCCACCCAAAAACUAGCCGAUUGGUACCAUAAGAUAUGACAACAGCUGUCUGAGUCAUGGGGCGCCUAGUCAAAAUGCUAAUUUGGGGCUCACAUCUCCUUCCUCUGGCCAGUCCACUAUUAAUUAUUAUACUUGCCUUGGCUUUUGGAUCAUGUUUGUUAAAUCUUUUAACCAGAUUUAUUUCUUCUUGCCUAGAGACCAUUAUGAUAAUGCAGCAGGGCCACCAGUCAGUUUCAGAUAAUGAUGUCAACCCCGGCCACCAAGAAGUAACCUUGUCUCCACUAGACAGAGCAGGUUGCAGGAAUUUAGCCAAUUCAGAGGUCUUGUUCUCCAUAAUUUGGAAUUUUCCUUCGGAUUUGAUCAAGUUGGAUAGAGUUGGUCAAACCCAAUGGGAAAAAGAUGAAAACAACAAGAAACAGAAACAAACAGCAACAACAACAACAACAAAAACAAUGCAUUUAAUUAAAUGAAGAUGAGCUCAUGCUGGAGUAGGGUGGACUCUGAACCCAGUGGGACAAGCGUCCUUAUUAAGAAGAGGGAAAUCUGGACACACACAGAGCAGAGACCGCCGUGUGAAGAUGGAGGCAGAGAUCGGAGAGAUGCUGCCACACGCCACAAAUGCCUGGGGCUCCCAGAAACUACACGGAGCCUCCCCCAGCGGCUUCAGCAGGAGCAUGGCUCGGCCAACACUUUGAUCUUGGUCUUCCAGCCUCCAGAACGUUUUCCUAAAAUUCCCUUUUCCACUGGUGUGUGGUGCAAGAUGAGGCACAUUUUCCAUGGAUGGUGAACAGAGGGAGGAGCCUUUUGAUCACAACCAGGUCACCCCACUUCUAAGCCACUGUGCCUCCAGCCCCACAAGACUAAGGAGAGAGAGCGCAGCGUGGUGGAGAGUGAGCUGUGCUGGGACCAUUGUUUCCGUAACCUCGUUUUCUGUGUCCAGCUGACACACCUUCAAAGUGGCAUCAGGUCCUAAACUGUAGCUUGCAAUGUGCCUGUUUCCAGAAACCAAGGUGAAAGUGCUUUUAGACAGUGUUCCCAUGCAAGAGUCCCUUCCCAGCUUUUUUCUGGAAAUGCAUGUUUCUCUGAACUCUGAGUCCCAAGAAAAAUCACUUGAGACACCAAGAAAAUGGGGGAAGUGCUAAAAUUGUGUGGGAAUUCAAGCUUAACAAUAAACAUCAAGACAUUUUUGAUAAAAAUGAAUCCACUGACAUCGGGGAGGAGCAAGAGAACAGCACGCUGACACUGGGUCAGAGGCUAAGACCGACAUUUCUGGGAACCACUCCCGGA
rnacentral:lncRNA from 1 species